UUUUCUUAUAUAUUAGUGAAGAUUUUGUGGUUUAAUCUUUAUUUUCUCCUGUAUUCUGAAGGGCAAGAAGAGACAGAAUGGUGGCUGAAAACAGGCUUUGAAGCUGCACUGAAAGAAGCAAUGUAGUGACUUCCUUUUUUUGUGUGUGUGUUUCUCAGCCUUCCUCAGAGCCAUAGCAGAGUGCGUGUUUUGGAGGCAGGCAAAGCUGAGACAGGAUGCAAAUGACUGUGCUUGAGCUGCUUUUUCCAUAGCUCUGAGGGCCAGGCUGUUUCCAUAGCUCUGAGGGACGGGCUCACGGAUGGCAGGGGAUGUCACCUACGCCGCCGUGGCAAUGCUGCCCAGGGAAAGGCCACGCGCUCCUCCAGGGACAUCCAACCCAGGAAACACGAUCACAUAUGCUGAGCUGCAUGUGAAGCCCCAACCCCAAGGGAGCAGCAGAGCAGAGACUUCCGCUCCUGGCUGCUGGCACAGGUGCUCAGCCUGGUUCUACGUGGCGCUGGUCCUGGCAUUCCUCGUGCUCAUCCUGCUGGGAAUUGUGAUCAUACAAGCCAAGCAGGGUGAGUAAAUCUUACCUCCUGCUUCAUUCCUUGAUUGCAGACAUGGUUAAACCU
rnacentral:lncRNA from 12 species